AAAUAGUACUUUGCAGAGAGAGUUAAGAGGGCGUGAAACCGUUAAUUGGCAAACGAAUCGGAGCCACGAAGUCGUUUCGCUGAGUUGCGCCGCGUUCAGCCCAGGAGCGCAUCCUGGGUGUAGUGGCGGCGCGGCCCUUGUAAGCGUACACUGCAACCAGUUAGACGAUUGGCGCUGGACAGAGCCGGGCGGGUCCGUUUGGGUCCGCUCGGCGCAGUAUCCAUUUGGCCGGGUUGGUAGUGGCGCGGCGCACUCCUUGCGGGUGCGCUCGUGUUGCUGGGCCCGCGCCAAGCGAGCUAGCGCCAAACACUGACUGGCGAAAUGAAAAUCGCGCGCGCCUUGCGCUGCGUUCCAGUAGAAAGCGGCCCGCUGCGCGGCCCUCCACGCAGCCGACCACGGGCUCCCAAGCUGGCCACUCUGGAAUUUAGACUUGCCGGCUACGAGCGGGGCAACCCCUGGUGCCGGUACAGCCUCUAUCUAAUCGGGUGUCCACUUGAGCCUGUGCGCUCGUUCGGUUGCGCCGUGAUGGGCGUGGGCGCGCAAGUUGGGCUCGCCAUGCAUUGGCAGUGAGUAGGUCGGCUUUCCGAACGACCCGUCUUGAAACACGGACCAAGGAGUCUAGUUAGGCAUCGAGUCGAUCGGUCUUGAGUAGGCCAGAGUGGUGGCGACGGGCGUUUGUAGCGGCCGGCGCCAGCGAGAGAAGGCGCAGAGAAAUCGAAUCAUGUGAUCGCGGCGGCCACAGCAGCCUCCGCGCGCAACAUGUGCCUGUUCGUGUGGCAAUGCGCCCCCGGGCGCUUGCCGAGCGGAGCAAAGAGAUGCCUGACUGGUACCCGAAAGAUGGUGAACUAUGCCUGGGCAAGUUGAAGCCAGAGGAAACUCUGGUGGAGGACUGUAGCGAUUCUGACGUGCAAAUCGAUCGUCAGACCUGGGUAUAGGGGCGAAAGACUAAUCGAACCAUC
rnacentral:rRNA from 1 species